rnacentral:rRNA from 1 species
AUGGUGUUGUUGGAUGUUAGGGACAUGUUGCAUUCGAUGGGGAAAGAGAUAUCAUCAUUCCCCCUUCCCAACAUCAAUGAGUCUCAUGACAUCAUCGGGGGUGAGGCUAGAGAGGUCAUUGAGGAGUCUACAGUCGAGGUUGACCCGGAUCAUUUAGCUAUGGUAUCCUCUCUCAACCAAGAGCAAAGGUACGCCUACGACGAGAUAUUGUCCUCCGUUGACAGUGGCAACGGAGGCGUCUUUUUCGUUGACGGCCCGGGAGGAACUGGGAAGACUUUCCUCUACAAAGCACUGCUCGCAAAGGUUCGCAGUGAGGGAAAGAUAGCCGUGGCAACCGCAACUUCAGGGGUUGCUGCAUCCAUCAUGCCGGGAGGCAGGACAGCCCAUUCGAGGUUCAAGAUCCCGUUG